AUUGAACGCUAGCGGGAUGCCUUACACAUGCAAGUCGAACGGAGUGGCGAACGGGUGAGUAAUGUAUCGGAACGUGCCCAGUAGCGGGGGAUAACUACGCGAAAGCGUAGCUAAUACCGCAUACUAUUGGAGCGGCCGGUAUCGGAUUAGCUAGGGGGUGGGGUAACGGCCCACCCAGGCGGCGAUCCGUAGCUGGUUUGAGAGGACGACCAGCCACACUGGGACUGAGACACGGCCCAGACUCCUACGGGAGGCAGCAGUGGGGAAUUUUGGACAAUGGGGGAAACCCUGAUCCAGCCAUGCCGCGUGUGCGAAGAAGGCCUUCGGGUUGUAAAGCACUUUUGGCAGGAAGGCGGUACCUGCAGAAUAAGCACCGGCUAACUCCGUGCCAGCAGCCGCGGUAAUAC
rnacentral:rRNA from 1 species